CCUACGGGUGGCAGCAGUGGGGAAUAUUGCUCAAUGGGGGAAACCCUGAAGCAGCAACGCCGCGUGGAGGAUGAAGGUUUUCGGAUUGUAAACUCCUUUUGUUAGAGAAGAUAAUGACGGUAUCUAACGAAUAAGCACCGGCUAACUACGUGCCAGCAGCCGCGGUAAUACGGAGGGUGCAAGCGUUAUUCGGAAUCACUGGGCGUAAAGAGCGCGUAGGCGGGAUAGCAAGUCCGAUGUGAAAUCCUAGGGCUUAACCAUAGAACUGCAUUUGAAACUGUUAUUCUAGAGUAUGGGAGAGGUAGGUGGAAUUCUUGGUGUAGCGGUAAAAUCCGUAGAGAUCAAGAGGAAUACUCAUUGCGAAGGCGACCUGCUGGAACAUAACUGACGCUGAUGCGCGAAAGCGUGGGGAGCAAACAGGAUUAGAUACCCGGGUAGUC
rnacentral:rRNA from 1 species